rnacentral:rRNA from 1 species
UCUGGCAGCAAUGGCGAGAAGGUCACACCCGUUCCCAUACCGAACACGGAAGUUAAGCUUCUCAGCGCCGAUGGUAGUUGGGACUUUGUCCUUGUGAGAGUAGGACGUUGCCAGGC